CAGACUACUGCGCGCGGCCGGCUGCGCAGCGAUAGGGCGCGGCGUCUGCGCCGCCACUUUAUCCCCAGCCGCUCGGCGGCGGGGGCGGCCCGCUGGGUGGGGACGCGCGGGGAGGCGGCGCCGGGGCCCCACGUGUGCCCGGCCCCCGGGGAGGAGCGGGGCAUCGCCCGCCGACCUGCCUCGCGCUUUUCCUGGCCGCGUGGGGGACCUUCACGGGGCACUGAACCGAAUUAUGGGGCCCUUCCAGCCCAUGCGCACAGUCGAGAACACAGACCCUCACACUGGUCCCCGGAGCAGAAACACGCUCACUAGAACUGCAUGCACAUGUUUACAGUUGCACACGUGCGAGACCCACAUUCAGAUAGCACAGGUGUAGGCACACCCACAAGGACACAUCCUCAGGACCCUUCCCCAGAUACAAACUACACACAGAGGUACAAGUGAAUGUCACAGUUACUACAUGAAUACAAACACACAGCAUGGACGCACACGCCCUAGACACCAUGCACACAGAUAAAAACAACACACCACACACACAGUGAGUGUCAGCGCAGAAACCACAGCUCUCAUCUUACAGGGGAAAAGAUUAUUCUGGAGCCAUUUUGAAUGACCAUGAGCUGGAAACACAGAUUUAAGUUACCCCUAAUUCCAUGUUCCUAUGUGAAAGCAGUUUCGGGAAGUUUUUUGGGUUUUUUUGGUUUUUGUUUUGUUUUGUUUUGUUUUUAAAAUAGUUUUACAGAACAGAUAAAGCCGUAUAUCAAGGCAAGUUUAAAAUACAUUGGUGGGUACAACAGAGAGUCAGGUAACAGUGAAAUGGGAAAGUGUUCCUAUAGGCUCAAAAUGCUAUCUGAUAGCAUUGCUAACUUUUGGAUUUGUAGAAGCUAACUAUCGUGUUAAAUCAAUAGUUAAACAGUGUUCAUCUAUUGCCUCAAGAAGUUAGUUCUAACAAAGAGGGGCAAGAAAGAAAUGGCUGUUCCUGAGGGCCCGAACUUAGCCCAAAAUAAAGUAAUUUGCCUCUGGACCUGGAACAUUCCAACCUCUCCAUAGUACUGAAACUUUAAUCAGCCAGCUAAUCUCAGCAGACACAGCUUCCCUUUAGUUUUCCGCCUCAGCAGCAGAAGUAGCUCCUUUCCCCAUGUUUUUGUUCACAACAGAGAAAAACAACACACCAUAUACACCCAGAGAGCUAAAGAUGCGUGACAUUCACGCACAAGCGCUUAGAGCUCUGAGAAGGAAGCAGACAUACUGCAAGCAAACACACACACACACACACACACACACACUGCAUGAAACCAUUUCCCCUAGGUGCCCCAGGAUCCAGGUCCCACUAGCACAGCUGCCUAUGUGGCUGUGGAGUCUGGAAUCCAGCACUAAAUUUACAGCCUGUCCACUGUGUCCUAUGCCUGCCACCUGUGAGUGACAGCUGCAGAGGAAGGAUGACCCCAACCCACACCCAUCUCCUCAGGCUUUCCAGGGCUUUCUUCUUGGCCAACCACUUUGCAAAAUAGCAGGGUUGAAUAGUAUCAUUGUCAGGGCAGCACAGUGGUAGUGUCCACCUAAGGGUCCUACUCUCUAGCACCGUAUGGCUUGGAACUCAUAGAUAUUUACCUGUCUGCAUCCUAAGUGCCGCCAUACCCAGAAUAACAUUGGAUUUAUACAAUCAAGAAAACAGGGAAUCAACAGCAAAGGAUUGGUGAGCUGCAGAAAUUCUCAUGGAUUGUUGUCUUCUCACACAGCAGAAGACGUCAGGGACCCCUUUCAUUCUGGUAUUCUCACUGCAGAUAGGCUCUGUGGAAUAACAGUUCUUCCCACCCCCCUGCGUAUUUUUAAAAUGUUUUGUUACCUCUUCUGGCCAUGAUAGUGUCUAGUGAUGCCCUCUCCCAUUCUCACAGAUGAUGCCGUUUCCCUCUUAGUACUUUCAAGAUGGCUCUCUGUGUCUGGUUUUCAGAAGUUUCACCAUGUGUCUUGGUGUGGAUUCUUUAGGUUUAUUUUAUGCUUGUUCAGCUUCUCUAAUCUGAAGAAGUCAAGGUUUAUGUCUCUUGACAAAUUCAGAACAUUUUCACAUGACCAACAUUAUUAUUAUUAAAUGGUUUCUCUGUGGAGCACAGCAAGGAAGUCACUAGCAGUCCUUGCCUGUGUUGUGCACACAGAAACCUCCAGAACAGGACAUCUCUAGAUCUCUAGACGCAACCAACUCGAACAAGAAAUUGCCUGUGGCAGGCUCUUCUGUAACUACCAGGACCUGGCGAGGGGACAAUUUGAGAAAAAGUGUCAUCUUUCUACCCACUCAAGAGCUUUCAUGUGGCCUGCAAUGCCCUGAGGCUUGAAGACAUUGGUCACGCUGGAAAUCCCAGUGAAGAAGGGGAAAGAACACACUAGAAGGCAGCCAGAACACAAGCACUUCUACCACAGAAACUUCAGUGAAUGUGACUAGACUUCUCACAGUCCUCAGGAUCCCGACUGGUGUAAACCUCUAUUAUAAGUCUUUUGUGGUGGAAGAAAAGUGGAGACCAGGAAUACAAGUUGUGCUUAGAGAAAAACGACAGAGCGGGUGUAAGACUUGGCAUGUGAAGUCAGGUGAAAUGAAGCUGAGUAAUUUGGGCCUCAGAAACUAGUAGUGCUGGCCAGCUGGGUCACUUCCUGGUAAGUUUCUUCACCUCAAUGACCUGCUUUCUCACCUGAAGCAGGGGAAACCCCUAGCCAAGACUAUGACUGUGGUACCUGUGGCUUAGCUCCACUAAACUGCAAGUGUCAAACUUGACACAAGAAAAAGAGCCUUGGCAUAUGAAAUUUUUAAUCUGAAUUUUAGACAAUGUUGAUUACACAUUGCAAACCUAGAUGUCCUCUGCUGGGCAUGUGAGGUAUAAGAUGUUGAUGGGACAGGGUACUUUCUGCUCUAGGACAGUGAGAGGAUGUGUCUCUUUCUGCUGGGACAGGGGGUGCUUGAGCGGCAGCAGGCUUGUGCAUCUGGAAUUGGAGCUCUGAGACUGAAGUCAGCCCAGAAACAGUCCCUGGAGCUGAGAGGGCAUCACCCUUGACUGAGGGAUGGCAGCAGAGGUGUGGCUGGGCAGUGCAGACACUGCUCCUGUCAGCAGGGGACUUGGCCCGUGAGCACAUUUACAAUAUUUGCAUUGCUAACCAAUAUCUAACAACCAUGACAUCUCACCCAGUAAUGCUAGUUAUUGAGUCCUAGCUAGAUUCUCUCUUGCAUUGACAGCAGGUCACAGGUCAGAGCUGCCUCUGGGGAUUGAUUGUUGUCUGCUAGAGAGCCUUGGCUCCCUCCAUGGUCCUUCCUUUAAAAGACAAAUGCCAAACAGAGCACAUCACUCAUUGUAAGCCAUUUGUACCUCUCCUUACUUCCCACCCCUCAUCCAGGUUCCCUUGAAAAUAUCCAACUCGGAUUUCCAGGUUGUUUGACUGGGUGGUGCUUUCCUGAGUCACUUACAUGGAGGAAGGGAGGAGGCUUGGGAAGCAGGGGUCAAGUUCAAUGUGGGCUUCUGAAAAACAUUGUUGGUUUCUCUGGGGGAAGCCAACCCGGAAGGCCGGACGAGAUAUACAGUAGGUCAGAGUGGAGGUGAAGGUUUAGGAGUUGCCAUUUGUGAGCAGUGAUGUCAUGAGCAGGCUUUACACAGGGAAUGUGAUCUGGAAGGACGAUGUGUCCUGGGGCGCUUCCUGUGAGAAAGAGAAAAAAAAUGGGAAAGAGUGAUAUAGAAGUGAUAGAUACAGGAGUCACAGGAGCAGGAUUCACAUUCUAAAGUCAUUGCAUGCUCCCAGAAAGAGCCUGAAACUCCCCAGAAGCAAAACAAAAAGCAUUGAGAGUUAUACACUAGGGCCAGCAUCACUGCGAAGUUGGAGAGAACCCACUUCACAGAUGAGUAAGGAGAGACAUCAAUUUGCAUUGACUUACAAAGUGAUUGGAAGCAAGUGUAGACAGUCCUUUCCAGGCUUCUGCAAAGAAGAGGCAACACAGGGAAGAAUGAAGCCACUGGACCCUAGAGCCUGGCCACUAGGACUAAGAUCCUAGCUCUGCUGGCCUGGGACUCCGUGAUCACAAUCAAGUGCAUGGCUCACUUCCUGUCCCUAUACAAGGUCUGUUUUGUGGAAAGAAAUGGAACACUCAGGCUGAGUACUAAGCACAGUGCCUACUGCAGGGUAGGUGAGGUGAAAAGAACUCCAUUAGGCUCGUAGGCACAGUGGAGAGGCAGGGAGAGCUGUCCAGCUGGUGCUGUUAGAAUCAGAAAGCGACAAGAAGUACAGUGAGUGGGGUGACUCCAAGCAAUGUGUGUGGUGCGUGUCUUAAAAACACUGGAAAUAUCCUGCACGUUUCAUAAUAAAGAAUUGAUAAAGGUUUGCAGC
rnacentral:lncRNA from 1 species